rnacentral:rRNA from 1 species
UACGUAGGGGGCAAGCGUUGUCCGGAAUCAUUGGGCGUAAAGAGCGUGUAGGCGGCCCGGUAAGUCCGCCGUGAAAGUCCAGGGCUCAACCCUGGAAUGCCGGUGGAAACUGCCGGGCUGGAGUCCGGAAGAGGCGAGUGGAAUUCCUGGUGUAGCGGUGAAAUGCGCAGAUAUCAGGAGGAACACCGGUGGCGAAGGCGGGUCUCUGGGCCGUAACUGACGCUGAGGAGCGAAAGCGUGGGGAGCGAACAGG